rnacentral:rRNA from 2 species
AGUUUCAACUGAAGAGUUUGAUCCUGGCUCAGAGUGAACGCUGGCGGCAGGCCUAACACAUGCAAGUCGAGCGGCAGCGCGGGGGCAACCCUGGCGGCGAGCGGCGGACGGGUGAGGAAUACAUCGGAAUCUGCCUUGUUGUGGGGAAUAACGUAGGGAAACUUACGCUAAUACCGCAUGAGACCGUAAGGUGAAAGUGGGGGAUCGCAAGACCUCACGCGACAAGAUGAGCCGAUGUCGGAUUAGCUAGUUGGUGGGGUAAUGGCCUACCAAGGCGACGAUCCGUAGCUGGUCUGAGAGGAUGAUCAGCCACACUGGGACUGAGACACGGCCCAGACUCCUACGGGAGGCAGCAGUGGGGAAUAUUGGACAAUGGGCG